rnacentral:rRNA from 1 species
UACGAAGGGGGCUAGCGUUGCUCGGAAUUACUGGGCGUAAAGGGCGCGUAGGCGGAUGUCUAAGUUGGGGGUGAAAUCCCGGGGCUCAACCUCGGAACCGCCUUCAAUACUGGAUAUCUUGAGUUCGGGAGAGGUGAGUGGAAUGCCGAGUGUAGAGGUGAAAUUCGUAGAUAUUCGGCGGAACACCAGUGGCGAAGGCGACUGACUGGCCCGAUACUGACGCUGAGGCGCGAAAGCGUGGGGAGCAAACAGG